rnacentral:lncRNA from 1 species
GUAAGAAUUCUGUAGUACUAGAUAUAUUUCACCCCAAAAAAAUAAAAACAACAAGUCCUACCAAUAGUAGAGAGAGUCAUCAGCACUUCUGGUAAUCCAUCAAGAAGAAGAUGGACGAACUCUAAUGCUUUAGAGGUGCUGGAGUAUAAGACACCAACACAUAUACAGUGCUAUAUACAUGUAGACAGCAACACGAAGUCUUUUCUUCUUGGUCUACAUGAUCAUCUGCGUUCAACAUGGUAAAGCCACGUCCGACUUCGCCACAGCCAAAUAUUCCUGCCAUUGGGAUUCCUGGAAAGUUAUCCAAGAAUGGUGAGCUAUCCACAUUGCUGUGUCCAAAGAAUGAUGCACCACGGCCCCAACAAGAGAAAACCAAACCUCCAACAACUUCCUUACUACCAACAUCACCUGCAUGAAGCUGGCAGCUUCUCCAAUCCAGUUUCAAGUUUCUGAAAUACUUGGAGACAUUACUAGUUGCAGAUAAUGCGGCCUUUGGAUCUGAAUGGUAGAAAUGAAAAUAGUCUCCAGAACCGAUGCCAUCUCCACUAACAAAAAGGUGCUCUCCAUCUCCUCUGUUGACAAGCAAUCCAUGUCUCAAUAAGAAGAGAAUCUUUGAAAAUAUACUUAAAACCAAGCUAAGAAAAAAAAUCUCAAGUGCUUGGCAAACUUUCUGUAAAAAUACAAUGCCAACAUAUAUAAAUAUUGGUGAAAGUUCAACAUCUCACCCCUUAACUUGAUGUAAAGCCAGGGAUCUCAACAGUUUUGGAUUCUCUGACCCAAUAACGCUUUGUCUUUGUUUUGAAACCCCAAUGAACAGUUCAGUUUUGUUCACCAACUGUCAUAUAUUGAAAAAAUUAAUAGCAGAAAACUUCAUUCAUGGAACUUUAAAGCCAGAAAAAAAAAUGAUAUUGUUAGAGAGAGUAAUAUAAAACCAUUAAUGAUAACUCUUUCAAUAAUUUAACAUUUUGGAUUAGAAAAAUUAUUUGAUAUAUCAAAAUCUUAAUAAUCAAGUCUUAUUUUUUUUAUUCUUUCUAAUUAAAUUCAUAAAAAAUUAAGUAUAAAAUAAUGGUGGGACUAUACAAAUUUUAUUUUUAAAAAACUUUUACCUUAAAAAUAUAUUAAAAAAUAACAAAAAAAAAUAUUUAUAAAUCUUAUUGAAUAACUUAAUAUUUUAAAUUGAGAUGUUUCUUCGAGAAAAUAAAAAAACACAUAUCUCAUUUAUAAAAAAAAGUUCCAAAUGUAAGAAUAAUAGCUAUAUUCCAUAUGACCAUUUCAGAUUAUUGGUAUGUGGGUUGAAAGAAAUUCUUGCAUGGCUUGAUGUAGGGACAGCAAAAGUCCCUCGUACCCAUUAAGGCAUUAACCCAUUCAUAGAUUCAAAGCGAUAUGAAUAAUAAAAGGGCCACAGUAAAAUUUGUAUUAAAUGGGUUGAAAAGGCUCAAAACUUAAAACGGCUGAAUGGUUUUGAGUAUGAUAAUUACUCCUGAUGUAAAACUCCACUCACAUAAAACUCUAUCGUAAGGUUUGCAUGUCAUAUAUGAAUGAAAAAUUAACCACACUUUCAACCAAAUAAUCUAACAUGAUAAUGAGAAAUCUAUGCAAAUUGUCUUAAGGCUUUUCGGUUAGUAGCAAAGCUGAAGCAAGUACGAGAAACAACUAGCUAAAUCAAGGAAAUCAUCUUAAGGUAAAAGUAUGGUUUUCGAAAAAUAGCAUACCUCACUCUCGAUGCUGUCUAUAAUCAUUUGACCACCAAGAAUCUCUUGUUCUCCUUCUCUUCUGGAAGUAAGCCAUGUAGUAAGACCUGUCUCAGAUUGAGUUUCUUUGACGGAAACUGCCUUGUACCUUGGUCCUAUUGCUGAAACACCACUUGAUAUUGCAGAAUGGAAUUGGAUUUUCCCUUCACCUGCACAUUAAGCCAAAUGAAGCAGCAGAGAUAUGAGAUAACAUGUCAUAAUUUUAGGUAAAAAAAAAAAGGCAAGUACAUUGUGAUCUUUCCAUUCUUUUCUUUUAUCUACGAAUGAAAAAUAUUUGAAACAUUUCUUGAUCUCUACAUGUCAUGCUAAUUUCUUUUAAUCUUUCCAAUUUUAUCGGAAGAACAUUUGUCAUUAGAUUUCAGUUUUCGAGGAGAAUGAAGUUGCAAAAACAUAGACAAGUAAGGAGAUACCAGAAGGUUUGUCUUCAUCCCUUGCAAAUACAAGAGCAACUGCAUCAGUAAAAUAUUUUGUACUACUCCCAUAUAUAUUUCUUGACUCUAUGCCCCUUCUGUACAGGAAUUGGGAUCUCAUACCGCCGGCAAUGAUAGUUUCCCUUGACAUGGCAUGAUCUGCAACAUACAAUAUACAUUUUCAAAUUCAAGAACCAAUACAGCAUAUUUCUACUAUGCAAUUUAUCAAGUUGGUAACACAUUAAGAAAUGUUGUUCUAGCAGUUAAGGCACUGCUAUAUCCUUAUAAGGGUGAGAACACAAGUUCGAUUAUCAGGAAACGCACUUAUUGGGAGGGGCAGUCACGAACCCCGAACGGGACUAGUUCCACCCUUUAAAAAGGAUGUAAAGAUACCCCGAUAAAAAAAAAAAUCUGGUAACACAUUUUUUGAAAUUUGACAUCAAGAAUUAAUUGCCUUAUUAAAUUAUCAACCACGUUGAUAUGUCAUGAGACUUUUGAGGUUAAUCCACUUCAUAAUGACAUAUCCACCGAUCUUUAUAUUCUUUCAAUAUUCUGAUCAUCCAGAAAAAAGACUCAAAUAUUCUCAUCAUCCAGUGAUGGAUUAGAAAGAAGUUUUUGCUUUAGAAUAGCAGAGAUUGAUGUGCUUGAAUAUGUCAAAUAAAUAUCCUUACGGAGAGAGAAUGAAAAGGGUUUGAAGAAAAUAGCUUUUCGAAGCUGAAAAAUGGAGUAAACAUAUUUUAUUUAUAAGAAACAAACUGAAGAUUUUAAAGAAAUUGGACUAAAUUUUUUAGAUUAUUGCCCAUAUAUUACGUUUUCCUAGGAAUAAAAUUAAAAUCAAACGCAAGAAGACUGAAACAUCCCUUGUUAAAAAACUCACCCAACUUUUCCAUGACUGGUUUGAGGUCAGCCUCUUCACCCUGUAGCAUUACAGAAGUCACAUCUUAGCAAGAAACUCAUACAAGAAUGAAGCAUGUAAGCAUGCAUUAGCUUACUCCAAACAUUAUGAUCAGAGCUGGUGAUGUGGAACCAGAAACAGAAGCUGAAUAAUUCUUGAUAUCCAUCACAAAGUUAUCAAUCAUUGCCACUGGACCAGCCUGAGGUCACCAUGCAUGUCAGCGAAAAUACUCAAGAUCAGUUAAUUUAUUGUCCACAAAUCCAUUAAGUUCUAUGCGGAAUUUUUUCAUAAACUAACACGGCAGUAAAAAUUAUUUUCUAAACCAUCACAACUAAGAAAAUAUUUUUCAACUACCACAAUUUUCAACUAAUAAAUUUCAUUUCAAGUUUUUGCUCUCUCAAAUAAUUAACUUAAUUAUGCAAGAGUCAACAUGCUUUAUUAUAAAGAUCCAAUGACAUGAAAUAAAUCAACAUAAUAAAAAAGCCAUCAGAGACACAUUAGAGUUUUGAUAAUGAAACUCUAAGUACCAGAAAAAAUAUAUUGACAAAAUGAAUUUAUAGACACUAUAAAAAACCAACUUUAAAGUCAGUGAUGAGUCACACGUACAGUCUAGAGAGUGGCAUGUUCACUUACUAGCAUCUUAUCACAACUUUGAAGUUGAUUUUUCAUUGUAUUUAUGGAUUUUUCUUAUCAAUAUCACUACAAAAAAAUUAGCAAAUACAAACAGAAACACCGAUAUAUUUUUUCUGUCGGUAUAUUACGGUGAUAUUUACUGACUUAAUUGUUCCAUCGCUAAAUCUAUCGGCAAAUAUCGAUAGUAAUAUGUCGUCGGUAUAUGAUGAGGGAAUCACAAUCAGAAUAAAAUGAAUAAAAAAAAUCCAAACAAUGUGAUGACGUAUAAGUUUUUACAAACAUAGUUAUCGACAUAAUUAAACUGACGGUACAAUUCAUCCAUGAAUAUACCAAAAUUUUUUUUCCAUCGGUAUAUACCAAUGACAAUACAUAAAAUAUUAUAGUGAGAUUGAAAAAAGCAAAUCGUACAGUGAUGUGGCAUUGAUAUAGACAGAAUUGUCGAUGGAGUCACCAUCAAAAUAAUUCCAUGGGUAAAGCCGUCGGCAAUAUUUAAUAUAUGACCCGGCGCUCGACCCUCCUCUUCCCCUCUCUCAUUUCUAUUUCUUCCUUAUAAAAUUUUUCUCUGCAACAAAACAACCACCCCCUCUCAAUCUCAACACAACUCAACCUCCCAUAACUUUUCCAGUCACCACAACACUCAAUUUAUUAGCAUCUGUGUUCUGAUUGAUAUUUUAUUGAGGAUUCUCCACCUUAAGUAAGCAAAUAUAUCUUUUUUUUAAUUUGAACAUAAUUUUAAAAUGUUAAAUUGUUUUGCAUAUUUUUGUAGUAUAUGUAUUUUGUUUGGGUGUUUACUUGUAUUAUUGUUUUUUCUCAAACAAACUUGUUAUAUAGAUUUAUGAUUUGCACAUGUUAUGGUUUAUUUUAUAUUUUAUAAAAUUAUAUUUGUUUGUAAAUUGUUGAAACUUAUGUUGAAUUACUGACUUAGGUGUUUUGUGAUGAAAUAAAUAAUGGCUUGUUUAACAAGUCUGUUUUAUAUUUUCUCAAUUUCAUUUUUGAGUUGUAACUUUUGGUAAAUGUGUACAAAUUUAUAUUUAUGUAGAUAAUUGAUAAUUAAUGAAUUAAAAGAAGUAUUAAAAUAUAUUGAAUAAUCUUCUGCUAAACCAAUAUUUUUACAAAUUUAUUUAGUUAACGUAAUUAAUUAAUACAUGUUGUCAUCAUUAUUUUUAUAUAGGUUUGAUAGAAGUGAUGGAUGAUCGUUCACGAAUGUAUCGACAUUCACCCCAAGAAUUGCAGAGGAUGAAUUAUUGUAAUGGGGUUCAGGGUUUUAUAAAUUAUACAAUAUCUAAUCCAAGAAAUAUUAAUGGAGACGGUAUUAGAUGUCCUUGCAAGAGGUGUAAAAAUAAAAUAUUUCUCGAUCCAAAGUUGUAACGAUGCAUCUUCUAUAAAAAGGAUUCAUAGAGCAAUACUGUAUUGGUAUGCAUAUGAAGAACCAUAUUUCCUCGUGAGGUCAUGAUAGAAAUGAUGGUGGGGUCAACUUUUAGUGCUAGCAAAGUGCAUGGAGUUGUAGAUGAUAAUAUAUAGAAAUCUUUAUAAAAUUAUGGUUAUGGAUGCGAUGAGAAUGAAUCAAGGUCAUACCGGUCAAUAUCUAAUCGUAUAUGAAGAAUCUAAUGUAGACGCGACCAUGUUUUUUAUCUUUUGAAAGAUUCUGACGAACCAUUAUGGGAUGGUUGCACAAAUCACAGUAAAUUAUCAGCAGUUGCACAGAUAUUCACCAUCAGAGAACUUGUGGGCAACCUAUAGUGUUUCAUCUGUUAGGUGCUCACAAUUGGUCCCAAUCACUCAGUUUCCAGAGUUCACGACCUUAUUAAAUCAAGGAUUGCAAGAACGUACGACCCAUCUCAAUGAGAAAUAUGAACGACUCUUUGCGCAUUAUGAAGAACUCCGCCGAAUGGUCAUGAAUAUGAGAUCACUGAUGGGUCAUACAUGUGCACCUCUUUAUUAGCACCACAGUCCUAAGAACGACCAGCCUCCUCCUCCUCCAACGUUGCUUCUAUUCUAGUUUCAUUGUAUUUGAAUGUAUAAAUUUGUAAUAAAUAUUUGGUUUUUAUAUUAAGAUAAUUGAUUUUUAAAUACUUGAAUUUUAUAUAAAUUUAUUUUUUUUUCUAUUUCUAUUCAAUAGAUUUUUCUUAAAUAUAUAUUUUUAAUUUAUUACUAACAGGGUUACUGAUGGAAUAAUUUCUUCAGUAUAUUCUAAAGAGUUGAAAAAAAUUACAGCAAACGCCCCUGCAACUAUUAAAUCAUCGAUAAAAUUAUUCCAUCGGUAUAUUCUAAAGAGUUUAAAAGAAAUUAUUGUAAAUGUUAUUGCAAUUCAUCGGUGGAAUUACCAAUGGGUUGAAGAAGGUAAUUGUUCUUUCUGCUGAACAUGGUCUGUUUGUAAAGUCAUCGAUAAAUUUAAUAACGACGGACUUACCAACAAAUCAAAAAUUACUAAUAAACAUUUUUCUAACGAAUAAUUUCUAUCCGUAAUUCUAUAAAUAAAAUAAUUACAAACAAAAUAUAAGUAUAAAUAUCAAUAAAAAUUUUGGAUGAUAAAAUUAUUAAAUCUAGUGUAUAUUUUUUUUAUGACACUGAGAGUUUUAUCAUCGUAGUUCUGACUCCAACGCCAAUUCUUUCUUUCUUCAAGCAAGGGAUUGUGUUUCUAAAUGGUUUGAUGGAAACCUGUCUAUUCAGUUAGACUUUGUGACCGGUGGACUUGACAAUUGAAGCUCGGCAAGGACCAAGACCAUUGUGAAAUUAGGUAUCUAUACACUGCAUAUCACAAACUGAUAGAAUUUCUUUUCAUUCUUUUUUUUCUUUGACAAAAAUGGAUAUAAAUUCUUAUUUGACCAUCACAUCAAGUUAAAAUUUGGUAAGCAUGUUUUAUAGGUUUGGUUCUAAAAUAUAUUUGCCUUUCGUAACCAAAUGAGGUCAUUUUGUGUCUAAAUUAAACCUAGAAAAUGUUGUUUUGUUUUUCCAAAUUAUUUUUUGAUUCCUUUAUUUAUAAUUAUAUUUGGUUUUUGUUUCAUUAAUCAGGUGUUUUUAGCUAUUAUUUAAACAAUUGCUGUGUGAUUUUUCAGAAGAGAUUAAGAAUAUUAUUAUUAUUAUUAUCACUGCCAGAAAAUAUAUCAAAUCAAAGUUUUCUUAAUUUACAGAUUCUUUCUCUAAAAUUUAAAACUUUUUAAAGCUUAUAAAACCCCAACUUUUCAUCUAUCGCUAUUCACUGCAUCACUCCAUAUAUGAUGCCAUCUGAGAAGGGGCUAACAUGCUCUAAUAAAUAUCAUUUUCCAAAGAAUGCAAAUCUGCUUACCUUUCUUGGUCUUAACAGUGGAAGGGCUUCGACUUUGAGUCCUGGUAAAUACCCCACUGUCAACAGCAUACCAAAGCCUGAAUUUUUUGAUGCAGCAUCAACCCAAAAAUCUUCCAACAUAACCUGCAUGCAAAUUUAUUGAAGAAGACAAUAAAUCAUUCUGCCUUUCAUAUCUCAUGAAAACCAGAGAAGUGAAAAUGUUAAUGAUAAUCACUGUGGUACUGACCUCUUUAUGUUCACCAGUAACAGCAUCUCGUCCUAUGAUUCCAUUGGUGCAGGACACUAUAAUCGGAGUUUUUGAACCAAGUUUUGCCGCUAACUGCAACAUAAACAAUGCAAGCCAGAAUAUUUAGAUUAACAAAAAAGGCCAAGAAGAGUUCGGAAAACAUAUCUUAAUAACGGAUUUGUAGCUCAACUGGCAUCCAUAACCUCCUUUCCGAAGAGCCAUGGGUUUGAGGCUUUCCUUUGUAACAAAAAAAUAAAUAAAAUACAAUGGAAAAUCUUACUAAAUAGAGUGUUUCACUCAAAAACACCACUCUCAAUAACAUUUGCAAUGGCAAACUGGGGUCUGAUUGGCUCGGAGAGAACCUUACUCACAACCUCUUGUAAUGCAAUGCAACCUGUUUGAUCACCAUCAAAGCAUACAAAAGCACAGUUCACGUUAGAGACUUUACCAUGAAGUAUCGGUUUUUUUUUUUUUCUUGAAGGCCCAACAAACCUUUGGGUCUGGGUUGAGAGAAAAGGCAGAAGCAAGCUUUGGUUUGGAGAGGAUUUGAUUGCAAUUGUGAUUCCAUGAUUUGCUAACACAAGCUGCUGAUGCGAAGGAUGUAGCUGGUGUUCUCUUUAGAAUGUUUUGAACAAGGUCUUCGUUUAUUGAUGCAAAGCCUGUCAAUGGCGUUUUGGGUUCUUUAGGUUUCUUCUCCAUUUCUGAUAUCUAGAUAGGGUGCAUCUAUUACUUAACCUGGACGCUAUGGUUGUUAAUUCAUGGAGAGCCUCAAAAGGAAGUCAAUUACUAAACAGUGAAGACUCUGGCGUAAUUUCGGCACCUGCAUUCAAAGAAAUUUCCAUAAACUUACCUCUUUUUUCACGGAGAAGAACUCAAAUCUACAACUUCUCAAUGGGGGUCAAAUAAAUUCCAAACAGAUCGUACGUACCUAAUAAGUGUUUGCAACGCACGGUUGAAAUUGUGAUCACAUUCUUUUUAUGUUUUCACAUCAUCAUUUUAAUAUGUUAGCAUAAAAAGUAAUUUAUUUUUUUAAAAAAAAUUAUUUUAAUAUAUUUCAAAAUAAAAAAACAUUUUAAACCACAACCUCAACCCAAAAUAAAACCCGUAAACACGUUUAGGGGACUAUAAAGAUGACCACAAAGUGUAUGAAUAUUAUUUCAAACGUAUGAAGUAAUCUAUUAAUGGUGGGGUUUAGAUUCAAUAAUGGUCAUUGUUGAUUUGGACUUGACCAUCCAAGAUGGAAAAGUCAUUCAAAAGUCAUUCAAUAAUGGCGGAUAGUAUUUUUUAAAAAUAUUUUUAUUUUAAAAAUAAUUUUUUUAUUUUAAAUAUUAAAACAUUAAAAUUAUUAAAAAAUAUUAAUUUAAUAUUUUUUUUCAAACUAAAUGCACUUUUAAAACUCAAGCGCAAGUAAAACGGUGAUGGAUCACAAGAUGAUUCAAAAGAAAUCAAGUGUGUACUAAUCAUGAUGAUCAUGGGUCUUGCUCACCAAACAAAAGCUUAAUCUCACAACCUAUUUUCUUUGCAAUCAGAUUUACCAUAGCUUGAAUUUUCAUAGAAAGAACCACCAUACAUCCAUUAUUGAAAAAAAAAAUCAUUUUAAUAUUGACUAGAUCAUUGAUCCGUGCUAUGUCGUGAUUCAGAUCAAAAAAAAAAUUGAACAUACAAAAGAAACAUCCAAGCAUUGCUAAUAUUUUUUUAGUAAAAAAAAAUUAAACCAUGUGGAGAUUGACCCGAUUGACUUAAUGAAUCCAAAAACAACUCAGAGAACUGAUAAAAACAUAGUUUGAUCAACAAAAAUUCAAGACAAUAUUUUUUAAAAAAUAAUAAUAUUAAAAUGACAACAUAUUGAAUUUAUUUGGGUCAACUUAAGUUAACCCAUCAAAUCCACAACAUGGAUUAUGAGACAAUGAAACCCCAUAUAAAACAAAUAAAAACAAAUUAUGAAACUCAAUUCUCAAUCAAUCCAAAGUUUAAGAAUGAAAUUGAAAAAAAUUAAUUAAAAAAUAAUAAAAUAAAUUGACUUGAGUUAAAUUUUCAAACUCAUGACCCGGGUUAUGAGAUCGAUAUAGAAAGUAAAUAAAAAAAUAACUUGAGUUAACGUGAAUUAAUCUACCAAACUCGCGACUAAGGUCAUGAGAUUGUGAUAACCCUAUAAAAAGUAAAUCAAAACAAAUUAUGAAGUUCAAUUUUCAAUAAACUCAUUGUUAAAGGUUGAAAAUGAAAAAAAAAUCAAUCUAAAAAUAGGAUACAAUAAAACAACCCAAGUUUACUCGGGUUAACCCGCAAAACACGUGACCCGAAUAAUAAAAACAGGAUAACCUCAUAGAAAGCAAACCAAAAUAAAUCAUGAAGCCUAAUUCAUAAUCAAUUCAAUGUUGAAAGAUGAAAAAAAAAAUUAUGAAUUAAAGAAAAAAAAAACUCAAGUCAACUAGGUUAACCAACCAAACACGCGAUUUGAGUCAUGAGACCGAGAUAACCUCGUAAAAAUUAAAUCAAAAUAAAUCAUGAAGCUUAAUUCACAAUCAACCCAAUGUUGAAUAAUGAAAUUAAAAAAGAAAUUGUCAAUUAAAAAAAAACUCUAGUCAACUCGUCAAAUCCGUGACACCAAUUAUGAGACCAAGCUAACCAUAUAUAAAACAAACCAAAAUAAAUUAUAAAGUUUAAUCUCCAAUAAAUUAAAUAUUUUUUUUAUUGAAAUAAAUAGUAUUUUAUGAGGUGGUAUAUAGUAAAAGCACCACCUCUUCUAGUUUAUACUAUAAUAACUAGCAAUAUAUCUAGUUUAUACUAUAAUAAAUAGCAAUAUAACUUGUGCUUUGUUGUAUGUCAAUAAAAAAAAAUAUAAUGUUUAUUCAAUGUAAAAAAAAAUAACAAACUAAAAUAUCUCUAAUGAAUCUUACAAAAACUAUUUUAUCACAUGAAAAAUAUUAUUAUGCUAUGAAGCAAAGCUUUUAAAAUAAAAAAUAAAAAAGUUAAAUAAUAUUUUACUGUAAUAAUCUACAGUAAACUAUCUAUUACUGCAGUGAAAAACUAAUACGCUAUAUAUUUUUGUUAAAUAAUAAAAGCCUAGCAUAUAUACACAAACUUGCAUUUCCUGUGAUCAAAUUUUACCUUGCAAACCGAGUGAAGUGGAUUAGGCUGACGAAGAACAUCCCAAGACUGCAGCCUAUCCACUCAGACAACAAGUUAUUUAGUGCUUCAAAACUCCAAAUGACCUGAAAAUGCAAUAUCAAAACAAACUGUACUAAGUAAACCACCAUAUAAUAUUAUGUUUUGAUAAGCAAAUCAAUCUUAUAUCCAGUAUGAAAAUGCAGUGAGGGAAAGUAUAGAAGGAAUGUAUUCAAAAUCAGAAGCCUCUUUCCUAGCUUAGAUCAAAUUGUGACCUUCUAUGCUAAUGCUGCAACUAUAAACUGAAACUUACUCUGGUGACAUGAAUCCAAAUUUGCCCGCAGGGCUUGUUAGCAAUUAAGUACUUCCAGAUUUAACUUUGUCAAUCCAAAAUUAGGACUAUGCGCAUUAAUCAACUUCCGUGAACAUAUAGGAAUAUGUUGCCUGCUUAAACUUUUGCUGAUUAGACAUCAUGGUGGCUUCUUAUAGACACUGUAUGCUCAUGGAUAUUUCAAGGCCUCUGGCUGAGUCUAAGGUAACUUCUACCCUAGCCGGACAAGGCUGUGGAAUAUCCUUCCCUAAUAGUAAAACUGCAUUGUGUUCAUUAGACUUUGAUUACAAUAAUUAUGUCUGUGACUCCGCUGCUAGAGAUGACAAAAUCUCGCAAUUCUGUCAAUAUGGUACUAAAGUAUUUCAUUUAAAUUUUAUAUUAUCCUUCUGUAAAUAUAUAUGAUAUAGCUAAGUCUAGUAUGAUCCAUAAAUAGUACUAUGUUAUGAGCAGAAAAUGUUAUAAGAAUUCUGAGAACUGCGGUACUAAAGUGGUAUAUUUCUCCUACAAACUACAGGAUUUCACCCCAACAACAUAAAAACAACAAGUCCUACCGAUAGUAGAGAGAGUCGACAGUACUUCUGAGAAUCCAUCACGAAGAAGAUGGACAAACUCUAAUGCUUUAGAGGUGCUGGAGUAUAAGACACCAACACAUAUAUAGUGCUAUAUACAUGUAGACAGCAACACGAAGUCUUUUCUUCUUGGUCUUCAUGAUCAUCUGCGUUCAACAUUGUAAAGCCACGUCCGACUUCGCCAUAGCAAAAUAUUCCUGCCAUU